AGUGAACGCUGGCGGUAGGCCUAACACAUGCAAGUCGAACGGCAGCACAGGAGAGCUUGCUCUCUGGGUGGCGAGUGGCCGACGGGUGAGGAAUACAUCGGAAUCUACUCUGUCGGGGGGGAUAACGUAGGGAAACUUACGCUAAUACCGCAUACGACCGAGGGGCGAAAGCAGGGGAUCUUCGGACCUUGCGCGAUUGAAUGAGCCGAUGUCGGAUUAGCUGGUCGGCGGGGUAAAGGCCCAAAAAGGUGCCGUUCCGUAGCUGGUCGACGAGGAGGAUCAGCCACACUGGAACGGAGACACGGUCCAGCCUCCUAGGGGAGGCAGCAGUGAGGAAUAUUGGACAAUGGGCGCAAGCCUGAUCCAGCCAUACCGCGUGGGUGAAGAAGGCCUUCGGGUUGUAAAGCCCUUUUGUUGGGAAAGAAAUCCAGCUGGCUAAUACCCGGUUGGGAUGACGGUACCCAAAGAAUAAGCACCGGCUAACUUCGUGCCAGCCGCCGCAGUAA
rnacentral:rRNA from 1 species